GUUUUAAUAGUUUAACAAAAACAUCGGUCUUGUAAAUCGAAAAUAAGAAAUUUUCUUUUAAAACU
rnacentral:tRNA from 3 species